UUUAAUAAAUUGAAUUUGUUUGAAUUAGCUCAAGAGCUUAGAGGGCCACAAUUGGAUAAGGGGAAGGAAAAAGUGAUCGAAUAGCCGUCAAAGCCGUUCGACAACAUCCGAGAUUUUGCUCGUAGCAAUCGGAUUCGGGAUCAUUAAAGUCGAAGUCAUCUACACUAUCAAAGCCUCCAUUUUGGUAUAAUUUUGGUUGAACUUUGAAAUGGCAUGUAUAGGACUACCCUAAUGUUGAAGGUCAUGUACCUUUCGGUUUUGUGUAAGCUUGGAUAGCCAUGCGAAAAUGGCUUAUAUCGUUUUAGUAUGAUUCUAUAAUAGUUUGUAUGAUAAUCAUUAUGGGGUAUGAAAUUGUUUGAAAGGAUUAGCCAUUGGAAUGGUUAAUCAUAAUCACACUUUGUGCUAUGGGUGCAAAAAGGGCCAUUUGAAUCGUGGAAAUCAUGAAAUAGGUAAUGGUUACUUUGAAAACA